rnacentral:tRNA from 1 species
UCUUUCAUAGUUUAAAUAGAAGAACGCUAGUUUUGUAAGUUGGAUGUGACAGAGUUCUGAAAGAU